GAGGAUAUAGCUCAGUGGUAGAGUGCGUACCAAGCACAAGGUCCUGGGUUCAAUCCCCAGUGCCUCCC
rnacentral:tRNA from 1 species